CCUACGGGUGGCAGCAGUGAGGAAUAUUGGUCAAUGGGCGGAAGCCUGAACCAGCCAAGUCGCGUGCGGGAUGAAGGCCCUACGGGUCGUAAACCGCUUUUGCACGGGGAUAACACCCUCCACUUGGUGAGGUCUGCAUGUGCCGUGCGAAUAAGGGCCGGCUAAUUCCGUGCCAGCAGCCGCGGUAGUACGGAAGGCCCGAGCGUUAUCCGGAUUCAUUGGGCGUAAAGGGAGCGUAGGCGGGCGUUCAAGUCAACAGUACAAUCGCGGGGCUCAACCUCGCCCCGCAGUUGAAACUGAACGCCUUGAGGUCACAACAGGCAGGCGGAAUUCGUGGUGUAGCGGUGAAAUGCAUAGAUAUCAGGAGGAACCCCGAUUGCGAAGGCAGCCUGCCGGGGUGCGACUGACGCUGAGGCUCGAAGGUGCGGGUAUCAAACAGGAUUAGAUACCCUUGUAGUC
rnacentral:rRNA from 1 species